ACCAAUUCCGGGGGAUAUGUGGUUCCUCCUGGUAUAAUGGCUCGGACGCCAGAUUAAUGAUGUGGUCAUCCUGAUUGAUGGUUUCAUCAUCGUGCCAUUUGGUCUUGGAAACGCCACCAAAACUG
rfam:Vigna radiata var. radiata cultivar VC1973A chromosome 2, whole genome shotgun sequence